GCGGGCGUGGUGUACGGUACACCGCUGCAUGCCAUCAUUCGGAAUGUAUUUUCCAGUAGCUCACCGGGGUUCGACUCCCCGCGUCCGCA